rnacentral:rRNA from 1 species
UACGUAGGGGGCAAGCGUUGUCCGGAUUUAUUGGGCGUAAAGAGCGUGUAGGCGGUUUGGUAGGUCCGCUGUGAAAACUCGAGGCUCAACCUCGAGACGCCGGUGGAAACCAUCAGGCUAGAGUCCGGAAGAGGAGAGUGGAAUUCCUGGUGUAGCGGUGAAAUGCGCAGAUAUCAGGAAGAACACCCGUGGCUAAGGCGGCUCACUGGCCCGGUACUGACGCUGAUGUGCGAAAGCGUGGGGAGCAAACAGG